CCUACGGGUUGCACCAGGGGGGAAUAUUGGACAAUGGGCGAAAGCCUGAUCCAGCAAUGCCGCGUGUGUGAAGAAGGUCUUCGGAUUGUAAAGCACUUUCGACGGGGACGAUGAUGACGGUACCCGUAGAAGAAGCCCCGGCUAACUUCGUGCCAGCAGCCGCGGUAAUACGAAGGGGGCUAGCGUUGCUCGGAAUGACUGGGCGUAAAGGGCGCGUAGGCGGUUUAUGCAGUCAGAUGUGAAAUCCCCGGGCUUAACCUGGGAACUGCAUUUGAGACGCAUAGACUAGAGGUCGAGAGAGGGUUGUGGAAUUCCCAGUGUAGAGGUGAAAUUCGUAGAUAUUGGGAAGAACACCGGUGGCGAAGGCGACUUUCUGGACGAAAACUGACGCUGGGGCGCGAAAGCGUGGGGAGCAAACAGGAUUAGAUACCCGUGUAGUC
rnacentral:rRNA from 1 species